UAGGUCAUAAAAGGCACUGUGACUUUCUUCUUGUACUCCCUCUCUUGGAGAGCUCUGGAGAAAACCAGCUGCCAUGUUAUGGGAGAGAGUUGAGAACCAUAGCCUAAAGAGAAAGGUCAAAGGAGCAGGCCAAACGUCUGGAUUCUGACAAUGUGAGGUAAAGCUUCCCUUUUAGGUACCAUCAAGAUUCAACUACUGUCCAACCAACAUCAGGCUUCUCAGGGGUCGUGGAUGAUGUAUUACAUCAGGAGUUGGCUAAAUCUGGCCCACCAUCUGCUUUUGUAAAUAAAGUUUUAUUGGAACAAAGCCAGGUCCAUCUGCUUACAUAUUGUUUAUGGCUGCUUUUGACUAUAAUAGCAGUGUUGAAGAAUUGUCACAGAAAUUAUAUGGCA
rnacentral:lncRNA from 1 species